rnacentral:rRNA from 1 species
AGCGAACGCUGGCGGCAGGCUUAACACAUGCAAGUCGAACGCCCCGCAAGAGGAGUGGCAGACGGGUGAGUAACACGUGGGAACGUACCCUUUGGUUCGGAAUAACUUGGGGAAACUCAAGCUAAUACCGGAUAAGCCCUUAUGGGGAAAGGUUUACUGCCGAAGGAUCGGCCAGCGUCUGAUUAGCUAGUUGGUGAGGUAAUGGCUCACCAAGGCGACGAUCAGUAGCUGGUCUGAGAGGAUGAUCAGCCACACUGGGACUGAGACACGGCCCAGACUCCUACGGGAGGCAGCAGUGGGGAAUAUUGGACAAUGGGGGCAACCCUGAUCCAGCCAUGCCGCGUGAGUGAUGAAGGCCUUAGGGUUGUAAAGCUCUUUUACCCGGGACGAUAAUGACUGUACCGGGAGAAUAAGCCCCGGCUAACUUCGUGCCAGCCGCCGCAGUAA